UUUCCUGCCCUCGAGGAGCUCACAGUCUAGUAUGUCCCAGCCCUACUAGACUGAGGCUCCUUGAGGGCAGGGAUCGUCAUACUCGCCUC
rnacentral:pre_miRNA from 2 species